GACGAACGCUGGCGGCGUGCUUAACACAUGCAAGUCGAACGGAAAGGCCCCUUUUGGGGUACUCGAGUGGCGAACGGGUGCGUAACACGUGAGUAACCUGCCCUUGACUUCGGGAUAACUUCAGGAAACUGGGGCUAAUACCGGAUAGGAAUCCUUGCUGCAUGGUGGGGGUUGGAAAGCUUCGGCGGUUUUGGAUGGACUCGCGGCUUAUCAGCUUGUUGGUGGGGUAGUGGCUUACCAAGGCUUUGACGGGUAGCCGGCCUGAGAGGGCGACCGGCCACAUUGGGACUGAGAUACGGCCCAGACUCCUACGGGAGGCAGCAGUGGGGAAUAUUGCACAAUGGGCGGAAGCCUGAUGCAGCAACGCCGCGUGCGGGAUGACGGCCUUCGGGUUGUAAACCGCUUUCAGCAGGGGCGAAGCUUGUGGUGACGGUACCUGCAGAAGAAGCACCGGCUAACUACGUG
rnacentral:rRNA from 1 species